rnacentral:rRNA from 1 species
AUGCCGGCGGCUGCCCAUACGUUUGACAGCGACGGUGACGAAUUCGACGGCCCAGUCUCCUUCAAGAGGCCGAGUGCCUCUCUGAAGCAAAACAACAUGCCCACCCCUUCAUCAGGAGAUGUACAACAUUGUCAAAAGAGUGCAUUGGAAAGGCCUCAUGUGGAAGAUGUCCUCAUGGCGGACACCGAUGAUUCAGAUGACGACGACGUACCACUUGCACUGAGGAAAAAGGCCGAUGACAGGAAAUUCCAGAGAAUCACCACAUGUAGCGCCGAUUCAGAUUCAGAAGAUGAUGAGAAACCACUCUCCGCAAGGUUGUUCAAGGACGCCGCUUCACCAAGUGGAGGCAGCGCCUCCGACGAUGAUGAUUCAGAGGAUGAUAAGCCAUUGGCUGCCCGUUUUUCACUCGUUACUCGAAAUUCCGUGGACAUGCCGAUCGAACCUAACAAGGAGGCGUUGAACAGUAGUGCAAGUAGUGCUACCCGAAAUUCAGUCAAGAGGCCAUGUGAUAGCAAUAUUCAGCCAAGUUCAGCUCUUAAGAAGGCAAAGUGUACAAACAGUUCUGCCUCUGCAAGUUCAGAGGAUGAUGGAAGUGACAAUGUACCUCUCGCACGAAGGCUGACAGUCGGCGAGCCUUCAAAAAGAAAGCCGUCUGCAAAGGAUAUUGUGAAGAAGAAAAAGAAGAGCCCUUCAUCUUCUAAGGACAACCUGAAAGUAGUAAAAAGGAAAACAAAGAAACUAAUGAGAAAUUCCCGGUCCUCGAAGGCAACGAAGGUCCGUGAAGUGUCUGGUGGUGGAAAGAAAUGGUCUACUUUGGUGCACAAUGGUGUCAUCUUCCCCCCUCCGUACAAGCCUCAUGGUGUCAAGAUGCUAUACAAUGGAAAACCUGUUGAUCUGACCCCAGAACAGGAGGAGGUUGCAACCAUGUUUGCUGUCAUGAAAGACACUGAGUACGCGUCCAAGGAAACAUUUAUCAACAACUUUUUCACCGACUGGAGUAAAAUUCUUGGUAAAACCCAUACUAUCAAAAAGUUUGAGCUUUGUGAUUUCACACCGAUCUAUGAAUGGCACCUCCAAGAGAAGGAGAAGAAAACGCAGAUGACUUCAGAGGAGAAGAAAGCAUUGCGGGAAGAGAGAGAGAAACAAGAGAAGAAAUUUAUGUGGGCUUCCGUAGACGGUGUUGAAGAGAAGGUUGGUAAUCUCAGAGUAGAACCACCUGGCUUGUUCAGGGGACGUGGAGAGCAUCCAAAGAUGGGAAGACUGAAGCGACGCAUCCGACCAAGUGAUAUUACAAUAAACAUUGGAGAAGAGGCUCCAAUCCCAGUUUGUCCUAUACCAGGAGAAAGCUGGAAAGAAGUUAAACAUGACAAUACUGUUACAUGGUUGGCCUUUUGGAAUGAUCCGAUAAACCAAAAGGAUUUCAAGUAUGUUUUCCUGGCGGCAAGCAGCUCCCUAAAGGGGCAAAGCGACAAGGAGAAAUAUGAGAAGGCCCGGAGACUGAAGGAUCACAUACGCAAUAUUCGUGCAAAUUACACCAAGGAUUUCAGGAGCAAAGAGCAGGUGAAGAAACAAAUUGCAGUGGCAACAUACCUUAUAGAUAAACUAGCCCUUAGGGCGGGGAAUGAAAAGGAUGACGAUGAGGCUGAUACAGUUGGUUGUUGUACGCUGAAGGUUGAAAAUGUUACUUGUCUGCCCUCAAACAAGUUGCAGUUCGACUUCCUUGGUAAAGAUUCUAUUAGAUACUUGAACACUGUAGAGGUUGAACCACUUGUAUACAAGGCAAUUAAGGAAUUCUGUGCAGGUAAAAAUAAAGGUGCGCAUGUCUUUGACAAGCUUGAUACAACUAAACUAAAUGCUCAUCUCAAGGACUUAAUGCCUGGCCUUACUGCAAAAGUCUUCCGUACAUAUAAUGCUUCUAUCACUUUGGACGAUAUUUUGAAUAAAGAAACAGAAGUUGGGAGCCUUAUUGAAAAAAUUAAUGUCUACUUCCGAGCAAACAAACAGGUUGCCAUAAUCUGUAACCAUCAGCGUGCGGUCCCAAAAUCACAUGAUUCCCAGAUGACUAAGUUGAAUGAAAAGAUUGAUGAAUUAAAGGCCCAGAGGGAUGAAUUGAAAGCAGACUUAAAGAGAGCGAAGAAAGGAAAGCCUCUAGCCGGUGAUGAAGAUGGGAAGCGAAAGAGAAAAUUGACCCCUGAAGUGUUGGAGACUAAGAUCUAUAAAAUUGAAACCAAGAUCAAGGAAAUGGAUAUCGCUAAGACGAAUAGAGAGGAGUUGAAGACAGUAGCACUAGGAACAUCAAAGAUCAACUACCUUGAUCCAAGAAUCACCGUGGCGUGGUGCAAAACCCAUGAAGUUCCUAUUGAGAAGAUUUUCAGCAAGACAAUUCUCGCGAAAUUUGGAUGGGCGAUGGACGCCGACCCGGAUUUCAGAUUCUAA